GAUGAGGUUUGAUGUUCUGUAGGAUGUAUGGAUAGGUUGACUAUUGGGUUAUGACAGUGAGUUCGAAACAAUAUUCAGAUUCAGAAAUAUUAAAAGUUAAAGAUUCAAAGACUCAAAGUAACGAACGAGGAAUAUUACAAGAAUUCGCUGGGAAGGAAAGACUAUAGAGAUCUUGAAGCUUCCUGAAAGACUUCUUGAAAGCGGGAAAGACAAUCUAUCAUUAUAUCGGAAGACAUGCGGAAUUAUUUUUCCGAUUUUGCAUCACUGAGAGAGGUGGCUGCCUCGAGUCUAAAGAGCAAUUUUCUAAAACACUGCUUGGAAGAGUCAUGCAUCAAACGGAAUCGACAUUGUUGAUAGUCUGGUGCAUCACGGAGUGAGAUGAAAGCCUAUAUGAUCCAGAGAGUAAAGAGCAAGAUUCCUCAAUUAUGGAACUUGACGACACUUUCUGUUUUCAGAAAGAAAUGAAAAACUCAAUUAUUCAAAUAUGAGGAAGAGUUUUGUUAAAGAUAACUAAGGUGUGCUAGCCAACAAAUGCAUUGGGUCCACACACAGGACUUUGAUAUAAAGAAAUAGACUGUUGUUUGAGACUGUAUCCCAUUGCCAUACGUACUUUAAGCUCAUAUGCAUGUGCAUUGGUUACUAAUAUGUGGUCGCAAACAAAUGCAUGGAGGAGCACAUGCAAAUACACUCUAUAUCAAAUAAGACUGUUGAUUAAAACUAUACCAAGCUACCAUACAUACUGUAAAAGGAUUAAAUGCAGAAGUUUAACAAGAGUCGACCCAUGAGGAACUAACUAUUUAUGUAAUGUGAACUAUUGAAUCAUUAUUGCAAACGGAUUUUUGAAUGUACACUUAUUAAUGAAGUGAAUCAUAGCUCAGAAAACUAAAUUCGUUUGUUAUUUGUAUUUUAACACGCUGCAAUGCAAUUCUGUAUUUGAUAACCUGGAAGGAAAAAUUUGAAAUAAUUCUUUUGUUUUACGUUAUUCUUACUUCAGAAUAUUUUCAUUACCUUUAUUUUAUAUCAUUGAUUUAUUAUUUAUAUUAUUGUUUAUUAUUGAUAUUGUAUAUUUUUUAAUGAGGCGUUUUUUGUAGAAUGCUCUCUCAUUAUUUGGCUA